AGAGCGAACGCUGGCGGCAGGCUUAACACAUGCAAGUCGAACGGGCAUAGCAAUAUGUCAGUGGCAGACGGGUGAGUAACGCGUGGGAACAUACCUUUUGGUUCGGAACAACACAGGGAAACUUGUGCUAAUACCGAAUAAGCCCUUACGGGGAAAGAUUUAUCGCCGAAAGAUUGGCCCGCGUCUGAUUAGCUAGUUGGUAAGGUAACGGCUUACCAAGGCGACGAUCCAUAGCGGGUCUGAGAGGAUGAUCCGCCACACUGGCACUGAGACACGGGCCAGACUCCUACGGGAGGCAGCAGUGAGGAAUAUUGCGCAAUGGACGAAAGUCUGGCGCAGCCACGCCGCGUGCAGGAAGACACCCCUCAGGGGCGUAAACUGCUUUUGACGAGAAGAACACCCCAUUCUGUGGGUCUGACGGUAUCGUACGAAUAAGGACCGGCUAACUCCGUGCCAGCAGCCGC
rnacentral:rRNA from 1 species